rnacentral:rRNA from 1 species
CGGGUUGUAAAGCUCUGUUGCCCGUGAAGAACGGUGCUCUCAGGAAAUGGGGAGCGCUUGACGGUAGCGGGAGAGGAAGCUCCGGCUAACUACGUGCCAGCAGCCGCGGUAAUACGUAGGGAGCGAGCGUUGUCCGGAUUUAUUGGGCGUAAAGGGCGUGUAGGCGGCUUUUUAAGUCUGAGGUGAAACUCCAGGGCUCAACCCUGGAACUGCCUCGGAUACUGGGAGGCUUGAGUGCUCUAGAGGGCAGUGGAAUUCCGGGUGUAGCAGUGAAAUGCGUAGAGAUCCGGAGGAACACCAGUGGCGAAGGCGACUGCCUGGGGAGUAACUGACGCUGAGGCGCGAAAGCUGGGGGAGCAAACGGGAUUAGAUACCCCGGUAGUCCCAGCCGUAAACGAUGAGUGCUAGGUGUAGCGGGUAUCGACCCCCGCUGUGCCGGAGUUAACGCAAUAAGCACUCCGCCUGGGGAGUACGGCCGCAAGGUUGAAACUCAAAGGAAUUGACGGGGGCCCGCACAAGCAGCGGAGCAUGUGGUUUAAUUCGAAGCAACGCGUAGAACCUUACCAGGGCUUGACAUGUAGCGAACCUCUUGGAGACAGGAGGGUGCUCCUUCGGGAGAACGCUAACACAGGUGGUGCAUGGUUGUCGUCAGCUCGUGUCGUGAGAUGUUGGGUUAAGUCCCGCAACGAGCGCAACCC